GAUGAACGCUAGCGGCAGGCCUAACACAUGCAAGUCGAGGGAGAAGCCCUUUCGGGGGCAGAAACCGGCGCACGGGUGCGUAACGCGUAUGCAACCUACCUUUCACAGGGGGAUAGCCCGAAGAAAUUUGGAUUAAUACCCCAUAAUAUUAUUGGAUGGCAUCAUUUGAUAAUUAAAACUGCGGUGGUGAAAGAUGGGCAUGCGUCCUAUUAGCUAGUUGGAGUGGUAACGGCACCCCAAGGCUACGAUAGGUAGGGGUCCUGAGAGGGAGAUCCCCCACACUGGUACUGAGACAGGGACCAGACUCCUACGGGAGGCAGCAGUGAGGAAUAUUGGUCAAUGGUCGGAAGACUGAACCAGCCAUGCCGCGUGCAGGAAGAAUGCCUUAUGGGUUGUAAACUGCUUUUAUAUGGGAAAGAAAUAAAGGGCGUACGUGUAACGGUG
rnacentral:rRNA from 1 species